GGGGCUGUGUCUCAGUGGUUGAGAAUCUGCUUUACAUGCAGAAGGUCCCAGAUUCAAUUCCUGGCAACUCCA